AAAACAUGCUGGAUUCUUUUGUUUCCUCGUACAUAAGAAAAAUUAAAUUUAAUGGAAAUAUUUCCCUGAAAUUUACCGAUCCUGAUCUCCAGAGGAUGAACCGACUCCAUGAUCUUUCCUGUAGCGCCACCUUCACUACUGGGAGCCACUGGAGAGGAGCUAAAGAGCUGCGGGUUGCUGACCCCUGGUCUAGUGGACUCUAGUGGACUCCAGUGGACGUAGUAGUUCCUCAGUGUGACCAGCAGGUGGAGCCAUUAGAUCACAGAAACACAGAUAAACCUCUGUUUCCUCU